CAAUAGCGUAUAUUAAAGUUGUUGCAGUUAAAAAGCUCGUAGUUGGAUUUCUGGUAGGAGUGACCGUUCCGAACUUGAUUGUUCGUGUAUUGUGUUUUCUCCAGCCAUCCUUGUGGAGAACCUUUCUUGCAUUAAUUUGUAGGGAUUGGGACCCGCAUCGUUUACUGUGAAAAAAUUAGAGUGUUUAAAGCAGGCAAUCGCUUGAAUACAUUAGCAUGGAAUAAUAAGAUAGGACUUUGGUACUAUUUUGUUGGUUUGCAUACCAAAUUAAUGAUCAACAGGAACAGUUUGAGGAUAUUCGUAUGAACAUGUCAGAGGUGAAAUUCUUGGAUUUUGAUCAGACGAACUACUGCGAAAGCAUUUAUCAAGGAUGUUUUCAUUAA
rnacentral:rRNA from 1 species